UACGGGGGGGGCAAGCGUUGUUCGGAAUUACUGGGCGUAAAGGGCGCGUAGGCGGCCAACUAAGUCGGACGUGAAAUCCCCAGGCUCAACCUGGGAACUGCGUCUGAUACUGGAUGGCUUGAAUUCGGGAGAGGGAUGCAGAAUUCCAGGUGUAGCGGUGAAAUGCGUAGAUAUCUGGAGGAAUACCGGUGGCGAAGGCGGCAUCCUGGACCGACAUUGACGCUGAGGAGCGAAAGCUAGGGGAGCAAACGGG
rnacentral:rRNA from 1 species